CCUCUCGUAUCUGCGGACGCUGCAUCUCUUCUUUGGGGUGCUGCCCAGCCCUGUAGAACCAGGCACCGCUCUGACCUUGGUAGGGGAUUCCAUUCUCCUCCCAAAAGAUCCUCUCCCGAGAGGUAGUGAGAACUUGGUCCUGAUGUUUGACCAUGGAGAUGUGAGCCUUCCGCCCGAAGACCGAGUGAGGGCUCUCUCCCAGAUAGGCAGCACGGUGGAAAUAAAUGAAGACAUUCCACCUCGUCGGUACUUCCGCUCUGGAGUCGAGAUGAUCAGAAUGGCCUCCAUUUACUCUGAGGAAGGCAAUAUUGAACAUGCCUUCAUCCUUUAUAACAAGUACAUCACACUCUUUAUCGAGAAACUACCAAAGCAUCGAGAUUAUAAAUCGGCUGUCAUUCCUGAAAAGAAAGACAUGGUAAAGAAAUUAAAGGAGAUUGCAUUUCCCAAAGCGGAAGAACUAAAGGCAGAGCUGUUAAAACGAUAUGCCAAAGAAUAUACAGAAUACAAUGAAGAAAAAAGGAAGGAGGCAGAAGAAUUAGCCAGGAAUGUGGCCAUCCAGCAGGAACUAGAAAAGGAAAGGCAGAGGGUAGCACAACAGAAGCAGCAACAGCUGGAGCAGGAACAAUUCCAUGCCUUUGAGGAGAUGAUCCGGAACCAAGAGCUAGAAAAAGAGCGCCUGAAAAUUGUGCAGGAGUUUGGGAAGGUGGACCCUGGCCUGAGUGACCCGCUCGUCCCUGACUUGGAGAAGCCCACUCCAGAUGUGUUCCCCACAGCUCCUGUGGCAUCCAUGCAGCCUUCAGACUGUAAUACAGCUGUAAGGCCUGCCAAGCCACCUGUGGUGGACAGGUCCUUGAAACCUGGAGCGUUAAGCAACUCAGAAAGUACCCCUACCAUCGAUGGACUGCGCCAUGUGGUGGUGCCCAGAAGGCUCUGCCCACAGUUUCUCCAGUUGGCCAGUGCCAACACUGCCCGUGGAGUAGAGACAUGUGGGAUUCUCUGUGGAAAACUGAUGAGGAAUGAAUUUACCAUUACUCACGUUCUUAUCCCUAAGCAAAGCGCUGGGUCGGAUUAUUGCAACACUGAGAACGAAGAAGAACUUUUCCUCAUACAGGAUCAGCAGGGUCUCAUCACACUGGGAUGGAUUCAUACUCAUCCCACACAGACUGCCUUCCUCUCCAGUGUUGACCUGCACACUCACUGCUCUUACCAGAUGAUGUUGCCAGAGUCAGUAGCCAUUGUUUGCUCCCCCAAGUUCCAGGAAACUGGGUUCUUUAAACUAACUGAACAUGGACUGGAGGAGAUUUCUUCCUGUCGCCAGAAAGGAUUUCAUCCGCACAGCAAGGAUCCACCACUUUUCUGUAGCUGUAACCACGUGACUGUGGUGGACAGAGGAGUGACCAUCACAGACCUUCGAUGAGAGUUUGGCUCAAUCACCCUUCCAAGAACUAUAAAACCAUUCCAGUAUACUGUAACCCCUUAAUUUAAACUUUCCAGAAAGCUCUAGAAGCUUUUGCAGACAAUAGAAAAGUGAUCUGUUGAUCAAGCAUUGUCUAAACAGGCUAACUCAAAAGGUUUGAUUGUUUUGGGGAAGGUAAGGGGAAGAUGGAAUUUGAGAUGACAUGGAAGGUGUGUCCCAAUUCCCUUUUAAUUGUUGAGUUAUUUUGUCUGCCUGCUGCCCUCUCCCAGGGCAGUGAAGUCAUCUGUUCUUUUGGUUCUAUCUGAAGUGGGUCAUCCUAUUCACUUCCUCCUUAGGGCCUGAAAGCUUUCAGCUGAAGAUAAUAGAACCUUUAUUUGGAGUGUCCGGUGAAACUCCAAAUAAAUGAUUACAUUCCCAUGGCACCCAACCAUACCAAUUUUAUUGUGUGGCUAUCCUUUUCUGACUUAGGCAACAUCUAGGAAGGUGUUUGAAGCUGCAGUUGAUUCUGUAUUUUUCUUUCAGUGAGAUGAGCCUAGUGUUUUAAGGUGGCCUGGAAAUAAUGGCACUGUGUGGGAGGCCUCAGGUGAGGGCUGGAGAGUAAAAUACCUUGAAUAAGAGAAGAAUGAUCUCUUUUUAUAUCAGAAUUCUGUGGGAAAAAGUCUGCAGAUGUAUGAUGUUUUGCUUCAUGUUAAAAUCUUGUGUCCUGAAUAUGUUCAGUCUUUAUCACUUAGGGUAGCAGUCCUCGGAGCACUUGAACCUGAAAGAGCCAAGUCUCUCUGUUCUUGUCCUUCUUAGGUUUUCAAUUUCCAAGAUACCAGGAAUUCUUUCUUCUGCAGUUUUGGUAUAGGUGAAAAUGUGGGGCCAAGUGGGUCUGAACCAGAGAUGAGUGCCUCUCCUGCCACUGCCUGCUAUCCCUGCUGUGGCCCCAGAGGUGCCUGGAUUGUUCCCCCUUGCCCUAACAGUCCUACAAGGGCCCAGUCCUGUACCUUCCAGGAAAUUGAUCUUACUCUCCAUCCUCAGGGCUACUGUUGAGUUUAAGGUUUUAUUACCCCUUACUUGGACUAUUGCAGUAGGCUUUUACCAGAUCUCUCUCUCUUUUUCAGUAUUUCUUGACUCCAGUCUGUUCUGUCCAGUAAAGUCAGGAGAAGCUGCCCAUAUUGCAACCAUUCUCAUGCUUCCUGCCCAAAAACUACAGUAGCUUUCCAUUGCCUAAAACCUAAAUUGAACCUUUAUUCAGAACUUUCUGCAUAUGGCCACAUAAAGUUCUUGCUCCUGGCUACCCAUUCAAAUACUAGGGAAAUACAUUUUUUAAAAACUGAUAAUUGUGUUCCACCCUACACCAGUGAAAUCUGAAUCUCUGGGAUGGGGCCCUAGACAUUGUUUUUGACUUUGUCUCUAAAGCUGCGAGGAUUCUCACAUGCAGCCAAGGUUGAAAAUUACUGCACCAGUCAUUUGUAUCUAAGAAUUGUGCGCUCUCUUCCCAAUCUCUGCAUACCAAAGACAUUCAGUAAAUGCCUAUUGAACCAAAGUGAAUUUAAUGUAUGGUAUAUCGCAACCACACCAAAUGGCCACAUUUUCUUGCUUCUGUACCUUUGCACCAGAAAUCCCAGUGGCUGCAUGGGAGCAGGAAAUCAGUCUGCACAUGUCAUCUUUUCACCUGCAACAGUGGCACUUUGCACAGGGUCAUUUCAGUCUCUCUCUCUUCACCCUACCUCUGUGGGAGAGUGGUGCUGUGGAGCUGGCCCACAAGGAAGCAGGGAGACUUGGGAGGACAGAGGGGGAGAAAAGGAAAGGACAAAGGGAAUAUUGCGAAUAAACAGGAAUCAGACCAUGAAACCUGAGGAAAGCAGCUUAUAUUGAAAGGUAAAGAGACUGACUCCUGGACUCCUGAAAGCCUUCCUGCUCUUACAAGCUACACAAGUACCAUGCUUACUGGUGGGGCUGAGUGGGAGAGAGGCAGUGUCUGGUUGCACCCUGGCUGGUAUCAGUGGCACAGACCCUCCCAAGUGCCUUGGGCCAGGUGCAGAGAGACUCUGGGGAAGCUGCCUUGCUGGGGACUUGGGUAGUGCUGAAUUUUCUCAGAUGAUCUUGUACUCCUAGCUAAAUGUCACCAAAGAGGAAGAAGAAACCACUUAAGCCUUUGUAAUGCUCUCUUAGGUACCAGACACCUUAGAAGGCAGCAUGGGGAGAAGCAGUUCCGUGGGACUAGUCUAGUAAUGGACAUCUGUUGUUUGAGGCAAAGGUUCCAACCUUUGUUUUGGCACCCCAGAAUUGACAGUCAUAAUGCCUAUCCCCUUUGAUUGUUGAUCACUUCUGGGUUUUAGUUACCCCAGUGGAAGAAAUUUCACAUGUGGGGGUUAAGUGGAAUAGAGACUACUGAGAGUAAAGCUUUAAUGGUGUGAAGACUCCAUGAGUCCUGCCACUUAGGUCAGUUUCACAUGGAUUUUGAGAACAGUUUUAGGACCAGACCGGAUGGUGUUCACUAGAAAACAGUUUGUAUGUGGUAUUGUGCCUCCCAACCUCCUCCCUGGUAACUUAGUGUUUUAACAGUACCUGGGUUAGGAGACCGGUUUGUCCAAGGAUUUUUCAAGCCUCUGAGCCCAGAACAGAAUUUCUGGGUCAAGGCUCAUUUCUUUUUGUGAGCAGCUUUGCCUGGGCACAGAGAAGGCCUGUUUGGAUUACGAGCACUGGAACACCACCCUCUCAAGAGGAAGUGUCAGUGAGCAUUUAAGACUUUGCUUCUAGGCCAGCUUUUCAUUCACCAGCAAAUCACUUAACUUAAAGUCUGUAAAAUGCAGUCAGUCUAAUAAUGCUUACCUCAGAUGAGAACAGAACAAAAUCCAUAAAUAACAGAGAGUUGUAAGAUGCCAUAAAGAUUUAAGGUACUUGUUAUUUGUGUCUCUCAAAAUACGAGAGGUAAGGUGCCAUUGCUUCCACCUAUAGAUCUCUAUCCCAUCCAACUUCCAGCUACAGGACUCCUUGGGCAGAUCCACAUUCUUUAUCACUAGCUGGGCCUCAGCUCCAAAUAUCUUGUUUGGUCUGUCCUGAUUUUCUGAGCUGGAAAACUGAGAACUUCAAGAACCAAAAGAAGCAUCCCAAAUUUUUACCCAUUUUCCCUAAGACCGAGAGCAGAACCAGGACCUAAAGAGAUGCACCAUGUCUUUUAUGCCUUGGUUCCACCCGUUCUUAUCUGAACCUCCCAGUUUUGUCCUUCCAACUAUUUACUGAAACAGAGGAAGAGAACUUUGAUCCUUUUCAUAGAUGUCUUUACUCCUCAAUCCAGAGUUGAAUUUUUUGUUAACUUUAGUCUACUUGGGGUUAGAAGCAGGGCCUUAUGCUUUUAGGAUGUGGCCAGUAUCAUUCACUGUGUCUGUUAGAUCCAGAAUCCAGCCCUGUUACACUGCAUAACUAUGGGCACUUGUGUCCUUUGGUGAUCAAAUCUGCUUCCCGUAGGUUUUGGUUCAAAUUCUAUCUCCUCUCAGGUCUUCUCUCACUGGUAAAUUCAUUCCAGGGGCUUUCUCAUUGGACUCCAGUGACACAGCAUGUUUCCCACAAUUUGAUUUGUGAUUUUUUUUUUUGGCCAUUUUGCAGUGUUUUUAAGUUCUCUUUCCAUGUGAGUAAUGUCUCUGUAUAAACUCUGAAAGGAUAGGGGCCAUGCUUGCAUUCUAGCACUGUAUUGGGUGCCUUUCAGCCAGCAUGGUACUUCCUUACUUUCUUUUGCUUAGCCCUUUCUUGAAAUAGUGUCCUUGGUGUUGAAUUGUGUAUUAGGAAGUCAGCUAAACCUGUGCCCUACCCUUUCGAAGCUUUGUCUCCAUGCUGUGGGAAACUAUCUUAACACCUUCACUCAGACAUCGUAUCUUGACCUGCACUGCUACCCCAGUGUCACCUUGUGCAAAGGCCAUAAUGCAAGCAAGAACUCUCAUCAGAAGGAGCCAGCAGUUGAGUCCUCCUUCCAGCUGCCAGGAUAGGUGUUGUCCUGCCCAACAGGCUAUGUAAUUGGUGGUCAAGGGAUGAUGUGCCUACAAUGAAGGCUAAAGGUGGAGAGGGUCAGAGAGGUAGGAGACCAGGAGAUCAUGACACCACUCUCUUGGCACAGAAACCAAGAAAGGCAACAGUUUAAACAAGGGGAGGUAAGUGGUGCCAAGUGGCUCUGGAGAGGUUUUCUGGGCUAAGGACCAACAUGAAUCCAUGGGAGCUGGUAGUUAGCAUGGUUUCUUCCCUGACAACCCCAUCUAAACCACCUCCAACCCCAUCAUUCUGCCACAUCUCCUUUACUGUGUGAAUAGCACAGUCAUUAGCUGAAAUCCUCCUGUUUGCUUAUUUUUAGCUUAUGUAUCUAAAGUAAGUUCCUUGAAAACAGCAACUUUGCCUUGUUUACCCAUGUAUUCCCAGCUCCCAGUUUUUCAUUCUUAAUAUAAAGACAAUGUUUUUAGGGAUAAGUAGAUCCAUUCUAACUACUAUUAUCUAACACUGUCCUGAAAGGAUAAUCCAACCUAAGUAAUGAAGCAGGAUAAAGAGUUUACUAUUGGAAAGGAGACAGAGAUUUUGUCUGCAAACCAAGUAUCUACCUAGAAUUCUGGAGAUAGUCAAUCCUGAACAACAGUUAGACCUAGUAAGAGAGCAGCAAGGUUGUCCACUAAAAGAUAGAUAUGAACUUACAAAAUAGCUUUCUAGUCCAAGUAAUAACCAGUUGUGAUCAGGGGGAAAAAUCUCUUGCACUCCAGCAACCAAAGCUAUAAAAUACCUUGGAACAGAAUUAACAGUAAAUAUGUAAGACCUGUAGGAAGAAAACUAUUAAGCUUUACGGAAGAACGUGAAGAAAAUAAAUUGAAAGACAGAUACACUAUAUUCUAUGAGAGGAAGACUUAAUGUUUUAAAGAUGUUACUUCUUCUUUAAUUAUUCCACAAAUUUACAUGAAAGUCUUCAAAAAUCUCAUUUUUUUAACUUGGAAAGAUUAUGCUAAAAUUAAUCUGGAAUAAGUAAAAUAACUUUCUAAAAAUUAAAAGAGAAUGUUGGCAGAAAUGUUAUUACUAGAUAACUCUUAUUACAACCUGUUAAAAUAAUACCAUGCUGGUGGCAGACUAGAUUAAAAAUUAGCAAACUUUAUUGUUGAAGGAGUUAAGACUUAAAGAGAUGAAGCUGCCAAAGGCCACGGAACUCUAAAUGAGCAGUGCCAGACUUCCAAACCCAUAUUCUUAACAAUCAGGCAACGCUGCCCUCCUGAAAUACACAUAGAUAGAUACAGUCAUAAAGACUAUUACAAAAUGUUAGUAUUAGUUUUCUGUAGAUGAUGGAAUUAAGGCAUGAUUGUGCUUCUUUUUCCCCUCUAUACCUUUUGAAUUUCCAAAUAGUCUACAGAGAACGUGUAUUGCUUUUAUAAUUGGACAAAAAGGACAAUGCCUGCUAUUUUCAGAGACCAAAGUUCCACUGCUCCUUCAGUGUGAGAAUCCAGCCAAGUUCUUAUUCUUGGACAGCAUCACUGAGAGGGCCUUGGGAAUGCUCUUGGGCGCAGCAGCAGAGGCCUGUCAUAUAUGGAAACCUUCCAUGAAGAUGACCUCACCACUGGAACCCAUUCAGCAUAAACCUUGCCUGCAAGAGCUAGCAGAGAUCUUUGAACAAAACCUGGAGGAUGGAGAGCCAAGAAAGAACUGACCUAAAGAAGAGAACCUCUAGGCUUAUGGUCUAGAAUACCCAUCUGGGCUUAGUACGUCUCCCCUGUGAUCAGUUCCUAGAGAAGGAUUACUUUUCCCAACCUCACUCCCCUCCAAAAAAGAAUUACCACAAUGGUCCAA